GCCCGGAUAGCUCAGUCGGUAGAGCAGAGGACUGAAAAUCCUCGUGUCGGCGGUUCGAUUCCGCCUCCGGGCA
rnacentral:tRNA from 1 species